rnacentral:rRNA from 1 species
UACGGAGGGUGCGAGCGUUGUCCGGAAUCAUUGGGCGUAAAGGGCGCGUAGGUGGCGGCUUAAGCGUGCGGUGAAAGCUCGGGGCUCAACCCCGAGUCGGCCGUGCGAACUGAGUCGCUUGAGCACUGUAGAGGCAGGCGGAAUUCCGGGUGUAGCGGUGGAAUGCGUAGAGAUCCGGAAGAACACCGGUGGCGAAGGCGGCCUGCUGGCAGUUUGCUGACACUGAGGCGCGACAGCGUGGGGAGCAAACAGG